ACUCCUACGGGAGGCAGCAGCAAGGAAUUUUGGGCAAUGAGCGAAAGCUUGACCCAGCGACACCGCGUGAGGGAAUAAGGCCUUCGGGUCGUAAACCUCUUUUCUUGGGGAAGAAUCUUGACGGUACCCAAGGAAUAAGCCUCGGCAAACUACGUGCCAGCAGCCGCGGUAAUACGUAGGAGGCGAACGUUAUUCGGAUUUACUGGGCGUAAAGGGAGCGUAGGCGGUUCCUUAAGUCAGAUGUGAAAUCUUCUGACUUAAUCAGAAAACGGCAUUUGAUACUGAGGGACUUGAGAGCAGCAGAGGGAAAUGGAAUCUCCAGUGUAGCGGCGAAAUGCGUAGAUAUUGGAGAGAACACCAGUGGCGAAGGCGAUUUCCCAGGCUGUUUCUGACGCUGAGGCUCGAAAGCGUGGGGAGCGAAGCGGAUUAGAUACCCGCGUAGUCCACGCCCUAAACGGUGGACACUAGAUAUAGGAGGUAUCGACCCUUUCUGUGUCGAAGCUAACGCUUUAAGUGUCCCGCCUGGGGAGUACGGCCGCAAGGUUGAAACUCAAAGGAAUUGACGG
rnacentral:rRNA from 1 species